AGUCGUACCUCAGUUUGCGACUUAAUUUGUUUUACGAUUUAGGGAAAGAUGGCUCAGUUUAUGUUUGUCUCGGGAAGAUGGCCAUGGUCAUUUUUGUCAAGUAAUGCAGAGUUUAUGAACAGAAGCAAAAUUUUGCUGCACGAUUUUCUUUGCAAACCCAUCUGUUUGCAAACAGAAGCAUUUGUGAACCAGAACAUUAUGGUACAGGGGUGCGGGGAGGCGGUGAUGAGAGAAACAGUGACAUCUGGAGUGUAUUGCUUAACUUUACUCUGCUCCACAUCCUUAUUUUGGUUGCAUAUCACCUCUAAAAAUCAUUGCUGCAGAGUUUUGGAAAUGGAAGUAUGCUUUUCAGGCCUUCUACGGCAAUCUCAGGAUAUUGCACUUUGACUUUAAUCCAUACUUAUGGAGAUUUGCAUUUACCUCAAAUACACUUUUAAGGCUAAUGUCUUUUGCAAUCUGAA
rnacentral:lncRNA from 1 species